rnacentral:lncRNA from 1 species
UGAUAAGUGCCAAAAAUCGGUGAUUUUACAUAUAUAAUUUAGGCACUUAUUGGCUUGUUUUGUAAGUUAUUUCAAUGAAAAACUUCAACUAUUACUAAAUAUUAGUCUUUACUAAUAACUUAGUAUUUUUACUAUUUUGUAGUAAAUAUGUGAUAUAUUAGAUAUAAUAGAUGCCUAUAAAUUAUUUAUUAGAUACGUGUCUUUUAUUAAUAGGUGUUUAAAGAGAAAAAGAAAGAAAGCAGGAAACGUGGCAUUAAAGNNNNNNNNNNNNNNNNNNNNNNNNNNNNNNNNNNNNNNNNNNNNUGCAUAAGUGGAAGUCAAGUGGCAAAAUCAAUUUCUUAAGGUUGAAGGAUACAAUCAUACAAGGCCUAUAAGAGGCAUGCAAGAGUUCAUUCAUUCUUACACUCUCACAUACACGAGAGAACAGAGAGUUAAAAACAGAGGAAAAAGGAAGAGAGUGAGCAUAGAACGACGGAGGAAACGAGUUGGAUGCACACCAACUGUUCGAGAAAUCAACUGGUGUUGUUAUUUCAUCUCUUUUCUUCUCAUUUGUGUAAAGCUAUCAUGAUAAUGAGUAGUUAAAGACACUUUUGUUGGGAUUAGGUGUAAAUUACUCUAUUAGUAUGUGUUUCUAUUGAUCAUGGUUUUAUAUAUGGUUUUAGUUGUCUCUCAAUAUUGAUGUUAUCUUUGUUUUCGUUGUUUUAAUCUUUGAUUUGAAUUGUUAUAGACAUGUACCUUUUGAAUCUAAGAACUAGGAUAAUAUCUAUUGAACUCUAAAUUCUAGACAUAGAUUUAAGUUUAAUAUUCACUCAGAGUAUCGAAUCUCAAUGCUAUUGUAUUGAUUGACGAUCUGAGACAUCGGAGGUUAAUAGAUACAAUAGAUAUCUCGGCGUUAUCUGGACACGGAAACAUUCGACGAGCGAUACGUGAUAAUAUUGAUAGAUGACUAGAACCUGUGUAACUGAUUAGGGGAAUAUGUAUGAAUGAGUGAUUAAAAGCUAAUCCCAGCAAUUUAAUCUCUCUGUCAAAUUAAUCAUCUUUACUACUUUCAUGUUUUCGCAACUUUCGUAAUCAACCAUCUUUGAAAUCCUUUACUUGAAAUUAUAUUAAUUGUUGAACGGCAUCGAUAUCGCAUCAGUCCCUGUGGAGACGAUAAAAACAUACUUACUUUUGUACUUUCAACAU